rnacentral:rRNA from 1 species
AUGGUCUCCUCCAACCAAAGUGCAUUCAUCACGGGCAAGAUUGUGCAUGACAACUUCAUCCUCAUCCAGCAAACGACCAGGCUGGACAUAGCUGGACAUGUCCAACUCCGUCUCCCUCGAGUCCUCCUCAAGCUGGACAUAGCUCGCGCCUUCGAUUCAAUUUCUUGGCCUUUCCUACUUCAGAUCCUGGAGCACCUUGGCUUCGGGCCGAGAUGGCACGAGUGGGUUUCUAUUCUCAUCUUCACUACCUUCACGCGCAUGAUGACCAAUGGCACUCCGGGCCCUCCCAUUCCUCACCACCAGGGCCUUCGACAGGGAGACACGGUUCCGCCCAUGCUCUUCACUCUCAUCAUUGAUGCACUAAACUCGCUCCUUCAGUGCACGGUCGCUAAGGGCAUCAUUAGGCGGCUCACAGCGCAUCUGGGUACGUCCAGCGUCUCUCUCUUUACUCCGACCCCCAGGAACUCGCCAUUAUCAACGGCUUACUUGAUUUCUUUGGGGCUGCUUCAGGCCUUCACACGAACUUUGCCAAGUGCCUUGCAGCACCGAUCCAGUGCACUCGCGAGGCUUCCGACAUCACUGGCUCUUCCUUGGCCUCCCCUUUCCCUGCGCAAGGUGCCAGCCUCCCUCCCACCUCCAACCACUCCUCGACAAGCUGUUGUGCAAGUUCGCAACCUGGAAGGUCGCACUCCUCCCGCGCGGCAAACGCCUUGCUCUGGUCAGGCAAGUCCUGACAGCCAUGCCCGUACACAUCCUGUUGGCCAUGGCGCUAUCACUUGCAUCGCACAGGUAUCUCUCUCCGUGUCAGAUGGCUUUGGCUCCACGCUUCGAAUGGCUCUCGCCCUUCAUUUGCAGCCACAUUCGGACCCCAAGGCCCUACAGUUCUUAUUAAAUUUGAACAAUUGUUGUAGUAUUAAAGAUAUUUGA